AGAGAGGGGGAGAGGGGAGCUGAGAGAGGAGUAAAGGGGUACGAGAGAAGAGCCGAGAGGUACGAGAGAGGUUAAGAGGUAAGAGAGAAAAGCUAAGAGAGAGGUUAAGAGAGGUUUAAGAUAGAAAAGCUAAGAGAGCGAAGUUCUUGUUACAAUCCAAUCUAUCUUUUUCUAUAGUGAAUAUUCUAAUUCCCAGUAACCAAUCACCACGAGAUACACCCACUAAAGAUUUUACAUACAGUGUUGCAUUUGAGGUUCUACAAGCUUUACGAGUUCUUCCCUUGCUUCUUGACCUUUGGGCUUUCUGUCAGCAGAAGGACAUUGUUUUAUCAGCAGGAUUCUCCUUUAGCUGGCUAGGCUAUUGUUCUUUGGUCAUACAGUAACCAGUACUCUGUAUCUUAUGACUCAAAGCAGGCUUUCGUUUCUACUUCGAUUCUAGCCUUCUUUUUUCAGAAUCUUCUGCCAAACCAUCACAUUCAUAAGGUUUCCCUGUUUCACCCUCCCCAACAGGCAGCAAGUUGUGCUGCGCUCUGAUAAUUCCAUACUCAACCUGUUCCUCAUUUCUUAAAGGUUCACUUCAGCCUUGAAUCAGCAGGUCCCUAGGUUUGGUUUUUUAGGAUGCCAUUCCCGUUAGAUUUUCCCCUGUGAAGACCUGAGUAUGUCCAGUUUGACCUCCAGGAUAAUGAAGGGAGAGGAGCUCCCGUUGAUUCAAGAGUGAAGCAAGGCCCCCAUUCUUGGCCUGGGGCUGUUUCAAAUGGGGAGGGAUCAGUGUCCUGACUUCUCUCUCUCAGAGGCAGGGUUCCUGGACGAGGUGACCCAGGACAGCUUCGUGCUGGGCCCGGGCUACGACCGCCCCUAGCAGCUGGAGCCCGCGGUGAGGGAGCCCAAGAGCAUCCAGCUGUACCAGCACCUCAGCCUCAAGAGCUGCAUCUGGACCUUCGACGCUUAUUACGACAUGACCGAGUUAAUUGAUGUCUGUGGGGGCUCUGUCACCGCUGACUUCCAGGUAAGGGACUCUGCCCAGUCCUUCCUGACAGUCCACGUCCCUCUCUCCGUGUCCUACAUCUGUGUGACGGCACCGAGGGGCUGGGCUUCCCUGGAGCACCGCACCGAGAUGGAGUUCUCCUUCUUCUACGACACCGUUCUCUGGAGGACAGGGAUCCAGACGGACAGCGUGCUCUCGGCCCGCCUGCAGAUAAUCCCCAUCUACAUCCGCGAGGACGGACGGCUGGUCAGCGAGUUCAGGACGCAGGCCAAGUUCAGAGCGCUGUUUGUCACGGAGCACCACAGCCUGCCAGAUGUCAGGUCCUCUUGGAGAACUCCAGAGCACCUGGGAGGCAUCGAAUUUGACCUGCAGCUGCUGUGGAGUGCUCAGACUUUUGAUUCUCCCUACCAGCUCUGGAGAGCAACCAGCUCCUACAACAGGAAGGAUUACUCUGGAGAAUACACCAUGUUCCUGAUCCCCUGCACGGUGCAGCCCACGCAGCCGUGGGCAGAGCCUGGAGCCAAGCCCCUGCCCUGCACGGCUCACGCUCCCGAGCGGUUUUUGAUCCUGAUCACCUUCCAGCAGACAAGCCGCCCAGUUCCAGUUGUUUACUCCCAGAACGCAAGAGUUUCAGAUCUGUAACGACGAGAAGGUUUUUCUAAUGGACCCCACCAAAUCGGAAAGGUCUCUGGCAGAAAUGGAUUACAAGGGGGGCUUUUUCCAAGGGUAGGAUUUACCUCUCCUCUUCUGCUUGUGCCCAGCGUUUCUGCUUUCACAGCUUCCAUUCCCUGGAGAGGAAAGGGCAAAACCCACAGGUAGCUUUGCCUCUUCUACAGCAAUCAUUGACAUCUUACAGGCCUGUGAAAGAGCAGCGUGCUCUGGCACCGCGUUUUGUCACUCCCACCCACCGAGCCCUUCCCAAACAACCCAAACCCUUCUGAACACGGACACUUGGCUCUAGCAGCGUUUUCCUGCUUGGGAAAUUUCACCUGCCCCUCUUUGUCCCGACCUCCCCAGGGCAGAUCCUGUACGGGCACGUGCUCUGGCACCCGGAACAAAACCUCAACGCUGCUUACAAGCUGCAGCUGGAGAAGGUCAACCUGUGCACAGGCAGGGAUGGCUACGUGCCCUUCCUCGACCCCACGGGUACCGUCUACAACGAGGGGCCCCGGUACGGCUGCAUCCAGCCCAACAAGUACCUGAAACACCGAUUCCUCCUCCUGGACCAAAACCAGCCAGAAGUGAGGGAUAAGUAUUUCCACGAUGUGCCUUUUGACGCCCACUUUGCUUCCCAGCUGUCCGAGUUCCACUCGGUGAGCAGCAUGCCCGGAGUUGAUGGAUUUACUCUCAAGGUGGACGCUCUCUACAAGGCACUCAUGAGAAGGCUCUUUAAAAACACAUUAUUCGUGUUCCUGAAGGAAUUAAUGCCAUCGCAAAGGCAGGACACCUCACGGGGUGGUCCGUGCUCCCGAGGAGCUCCCCUUGAACACCCGAGGUGGAGCUGCCCCGGGGCUGCCCCGAAGGCGGCGGGCGGCCGCUGCUGCACCGUCAGGAACCUUCAUCCACCGAGGGACACGGCGGCCUCUGCCAGGGCCAGGGCAGGAAAGUGAAGCAGGUGCACAUGGAAGUCAAAGUCCACGGCAAUUUGCACGACGGCACGGAAGUUUCAUGGAGCACACGCAUUGGGAAAAGCUUUUUAUAAACUGUAAAAUAAAGAUAAUCCAAAACUGAAAAGCCACCUGGGUAUUUUUUUUAGUCUGGUGAGGAGGGGCAGCUGUCAAUUCCCCCUGCUCCCGUCUUAGCGGCUGCACCGCUGCUCUCCCUCCGUGCUGCUCCAGCUCUCCCGGGCUUAAGUGGGCAGGGUGGGGAAGCCAGCUCCCACCGCUGGCAUGUGGGAGCUCUGAGCCAGCCGAGGAGCAGCCGGGUUCCUCUUCCUGUCCUCCGGAAGAGAGUAAAGCUAAAAU